rnacentral:lncRNA from 1 species
AGGUCUUAACUUGAUCGAGUCACAUCUAAAUGUGAUUCGACCUUGACCCAGACUUAAUCCUAUUAGGCUGGUCAAUUAUUAGCUUUCAUGAUCUCACCUAACCAACUCUUGAUUCAGUUUGAUCAACCGCUAGACCUAAUUGAGCUACCCAAGUCCAAACCCAAUCUUAUGAAAAUGUCUUAGAUCUGAAAUUCUCAAUUUUAGACCUAACUUAAUUUCAUAAGCUUAAUACAUUAAUUAAGUUUGGGUUUAUAAACAAAGCAUGUAAAAUAAAUCUUAGAAUUUCAGGAUCUAGGGUUUUGCAGAAAAGUAAGUUUUGAUUUCUGAUUAAGGAUGAACACGUGGCACCCCUACACGUCAUAUGAACACCC